UUUGCAUAUCAAAAAGCGGAGGAAAAGAAACCAACAGGGAUUGCCCUAGUAACGGCGAGUGAAGCGGCAACAGCUCAAAUUUGAAAUCUGGCUCUUUCAGAGUCCGAGUUGUAAUUUGCAGAGGGCGCUUUGGCUUUGGCAGCGGUCCAAGUUCCUUGGAACAGGACGUCACAGAGGGUGAGAAUCCCGUACGUGGUCGCUAGCUAUUGCCGUGUAAAGCCCCUUCGACGAGUCGAGUUGUUUGGGAAUGCAGCUCUAAAUGGGAGGUAAAUUUCUUCUAAAGCUAAAUAUUGGCCAGAGACCGAUAGCGCACAAGUAGAGUGAUCGAAAGAUGAAAAGCACUUUGGAAAGAGAGUCAAACAGCACGUGAAAUUGUUGAAAGGGAAGCGCUUGCAGCCAGACUUGCUUGCAGUUGCUCAUCCGGGCUUUUGCCCGGUGCACUCUUCUGCAGGCAGGCCAGCAUCAGUUUGGGCGGUGGGAUAAAGGUCUCUGACACGUUCCUUCCUUCGGGUUGGCCAUAUAGGGGAGACGUCAUACCACCAGCCUGGACUGAGGUCCGCGCAUCUGCUAGGAUGCUGGCGUAAUGGCUGUAAGCGGCCCGUCUUGAACAACGGACCAAA
rnacentral:rRNA from 1 species